UACGUAGGAGGCAAGCGUUGUCCGGAAUUACUGGGCGUAAAGCGCGUGUAGGUGGUGGGACAAGUCUGCUGUGAAAGCGCCUGGCUUAACCGGGCGAGGUCGGCGGAAACUGUCACACUUGAGGACGGUAGAGGGGGGUGGAAUUCCUGGUGUAGAGGUGAAAUUCGUAGAUAUCAGGAGGAACACCAGUGGCGAAGGCGGCUUCCUGGACACCAACUGACGCUGAGACGCGAAAGCGUGGGGAGCAAACAGG
rnacentral:rRNA from 1 species